GACGGAGGGGGCAAGCGUUGUCCGGACUCACUGGGCGUAAAGGGUGCGUAGGCGGUCUUGUGCGUCGGCGCUGAAAUCACACGGCUCAACCGUGUGGCGCGUGCCGAUACGACGAGACUUGAGGCUCUGAGAGGGUGGCGGAACUCCUGGUGUAGUGGUGAAAUGCGUAGAGAUCAGGAAGAACACCCGUGGCGAAAGCGGCCACCUGGCAGAGUUCUGACGCUGAGGCACGAAAGCGUGGGGAGCGAACAGG
rnacentral:rRNA from 1 species